rnacentral:lncRNA from 1 species
GCGGGCGGCCGGCCCCGCGCCCGGGGAACGUGGGCCCCUUCCUCCCCUUCCCCGCUCCAGGCCUGCUGCCAACUUCCAGGCUGCCCCUCUCCCACCGCGGUCGGGGAGGCUUCAAACGCCUCCAGCAGCGAGGACCCCGCCCACCGCGCCCCACCCACCGCACUGUCUGAGCUUCUUGAAGGAAAUUCCCGGCCGCGCCCGGCGCGGUCUCCCCGCCCCGGCCUGCCAGCUUGCUCUUGACUCUCACUGGUGCCCCCACCCUCGCUCACCCCACGGCCCCCGCCAUUCUUCUCCAGGCCUAGGCCAUCGCCAGAGAGGCCGGUGCGUGAUUUCCUACUGCCUCGGAAUCGAGCGCAGCAAGCCCCUCUCUGGGCCUUCGCCAGCAUCCCCUGACCUGGGGAGACUGACGCCCGAGUCUGCAGCCACUGGUUCAUUUGCCUCAGUGGAGGUUCGAACGUGUCAGCUGCCCUCCCGGGGAGCCUAGAGAGUGAAGGCAGCCUGGGCAUUCGACCUCUGUGAACUGAAGAGAGGUCGAUGGGGCAAAGUUGUGCUCCGCAGGCCGUUAAGAGCAGUCAUUUCUCACCGAAUUAAUUUGGAGCCUGGGUAGAAAAAACUUCUCUUUCCAGAAAACUAAGAGAAAAGGAACCAGGUAUUCUGGGUCACUAGUUAUGGUGAACUGUGAAGUAGCGUGGACGUUCGAGUACCCCGGGUGUCUUAACUCAAACCCUCAAGUUCCCUCACUGGUGGAGCUGUACCCUCCGGAAGACUACACAGCGCACUGUGCUGGGAUGGGCUCUGUAUGUCCAGCUGGGUCAGGUUCCUCUAAGAGGGUCUCUUCUUGGCAGGAAGUUACCAUUCUCCCAGGCAGAUUGUGUUGAUGACAUUUAAGAGAUUUGUGUUCUGACCAAAUAAUGAUUCAGAAUGUUCCUCCAGGCCCACCACAUGUCACAAUCACUCACUUUGUUAAGAAUGGAGCUGGGUGUACACUAACUUACCAGCCGUACAUCCCCUCCCUGUCCAUCUCCAGCCAGCAGGAUUCUGCCCAGUCUUCAAGGCAGAAAUUGGCAAGGAUGGGGCAAGCAAGGCACAAAGUAACAGCAACACAAUUUUUGAAGCUAAGAUCCUUUGCAGACCUGAGGAAAUGAAACCCUGAUAUAUAGCUAGGAAGGAAAGCCAAGAACAAACUCUGCAGAGUCUCCAGAAGGUUCACAAAUGGAUGGCACGAGGUACCUCUGGAUGUUCUUGUGAAUGGGGGGCUAAAAUAAAAAUAAUUGGCUAAAAGUCUGCUUAAGAAGCACUGAGAUCCCUAGCUCCCCCACCCACCACCCUCAAUUCUGUAGAGCCUUCCCCAUCCUGACAAAAGACUGGAUGUUUAUUAUCUGAAGAAGGUAAAAGGGC